GAUGAACGCUGACAGAAUGCUUAACACAUGCAAGUCAACUUGAACUUCGGUUUGGGUGGCGGACGGGUGAGUAACGCGUAAAGAACUUGCCUCACAGUUAGGGACAACAUUUGGAAACGAAUGCUAAUACCUGAUAUUAUGAUUUUAGGGCAUCCUAGAAUUAUGAAAGCUAUAUGCGCUGUGAGAGAGCUUUGCGUCCCAUUAGCUAGUUGGAGAGGUAACGGCUCAUCAAGGCGAUGAUGGGUAGCCGGCCUGAGAGGGUGAACGGCCACAAGGGGACUGAGACACGGCCCUUACUCCUACGGGAGGCAGCAGUGGGGAAUAUUGGACAAUGGACCAAGAGUCUGAUCCAGCAAUUCUGUGUGCACGAUGAAGUUUUUCGGAAUGUAAAGUGCUUUCAGUUGGGAAGAAAAAAAUGACGGUACCAACAGAAGAAGUGACGGCUAAAUACGUG
rnacentral:rRNA from 1 species